rnacentral:rRNA from 1 species
GCAAGUCUGGUGCCAGCAGCCGCGGUAAUUCCAGCUCCAAUAGCGUAUGCUAAAGCUGCUGCGGUUAAAAAGCUCGUAGUUGGAUCUCAGUUGCGGGCGGGUGGUGCAUCUACCCGAUGUGACAGCCCGAUCUGAACAUCUUGCCUUCUAUCCUCUGGUGUCCUUCACUGGAUGCCUUUGGGUGGUCGGUGCAUUUACUUUGAAAAAAUUGGAGUGCUCAACGCAGGCGAAGUGCCUGAACACUUAUGCAUGGAAUAAUAGAACAAGACCUCGUUUCUGUUCUGUUGGUUUUUGGAAAACGAGGUAAUGAUCAAGAGGGACAGACGGGGGCAUUCGUAUUGCGGCGCUAGAGGUGAAAUUCUUGGACCGUCGCAAGACGAACUACAGCGAAAGCAUUUGCCAAGAAUGUUUUCAUUGAUCAAGAACGAAAGUUAGAGGUUCGAAGGCGAUCAGAUACCGCCCUAGUUCUAACCAUAAACGAUGCCAACCAGCAAUCCGCCUGAGUUACUCCAAUGACUCUGCGGGCAGCUUCCGGGAAACCAAAGUAUUUGGGUUCCGGGGGAAGUAUGGUUGCAAAGCUGAAACUUAAAGGAAUUGACGGAAG